rnacentral:rRNA from 1 species
GACGAACGCUGGCGGCGUGCCUAAUACAUGCAAGUAGAACGCUGAAGGAGGAGCUUGCUCUUCUGGAUGAGUUGCGAACGGGUGAGUAACGCGUAGGUAACCUGCCUGGUAGCGGGGGAUAACUAUUGGAAACGAUAGCUAAUACCGCAUAACAGUAGAUGUUGCAUGACAUUUACUUAAAAGGUGCAAUUGCAUCACUACCAGAUGGACCUGCGUUGUAUUAGCUAGUUGGUGGGGUAACGGCUCACCAAGGCGACGAUACAUAGCCGACCUGAGAGGGUGAUCGGCCACACUGGGACUGAGACACGGCCCAGACUCCUACGGGAGGCAGCAGUAGGGAAUCUUCGGCAAUGGACGGAAGUCUGGCCGAGCAACGCCGCGUGAGUGAAGAAGGUUGUCGGAUCGUAAAGCUCUGUUGUAAGAGAAGAACGAGUGUGAGAGUGGAAAGUUCACACUGUGACGGUAUCUUACCAGAAAGGGACGGCUAACUACGUG